AUUGAACGCUGGCGGCAGGCCUAACACAUGCAAGUCGAGCGGAUGAAGGGAGCUUGCUCCUGGAUUCAGCGGCGGACGGGUGAGUAAUGCCUAGGAAUCUGCCUGGUAGUGGGGGAUAACGUCCGGAAACGGGCGCUAAUACCGCAUACGUCCUGAGGGAGAAAGUGGGGGAUCUUCGGACCUCACGCUAUCAGAUGAGCCUAGGUCGGAUUAGCUAGUUGGUGGGGUAAAGGCCGACCAAGGCGACGAUCCGUAACUGGUCUGAGAGGAUGAUCAGUCACACUGGAACUGGGACACGGUCCAGACUCCUACGGGAGGCAGCAGUGGGGAAUAUUGGACAAUGGGCGAAAGCCUGAUCCAGCCAUGCCGCGUGUGUGAAGAAGGUCUUCGGAUUGUAAAGCACUUUAAGUUGGGAGGAAGGGCAGUAAGUUAAUACCUUGCUGUUUUGACGUUACCAACAGAAUAAGCACCGGCUAACUUCGUG
rnacentral:rRNA from 1 species